AAUUUAAUUUAAUUUUGGGUUUAUAAUUAGGUUUCACCCUAACUUCAAAAAAACAUAGAUAACCUUAGUAACCCUGAAAAUGUAGGUUAGAUAGAUAUCGUCCAUUAACUUAUAACCUUAGUAACCUUGAAAAUGUAGGUUAGGUAGAUAUCUAUCAAAUAAGAAAAGAAAUGUCGCUGGAAAAUUCCAAUUUGCCCUUUGCUAAAAAUCCUCCACAUCCUAUUUUUGGGGUUAAAAUGUGUCUAAUAUUUACUUUUUCUAACCAUUUUCUGACUUGGUCCUAAGACUACUACUUUGUUCAUUUUGUUAUCUUUCGCUACCUAUUUAUCCUUCAUAUGGUUCAUAAUACUUCAAAUGAAAUAAAAUGUUAACUUUUUCACCUUCCCAAUGCAAUUUCUUGGAACAGAUUUCUGAAAAAGCAAUUUUCUAACAUGUCUAAUCAUAAUGCAGCAUAGCUCCCAAUGUUUCAUAAUGAAUGUUGCCUUUUACUUCUAACCUCUCUCAUUUCUCUCAUCUUUUUCCAUCAAAUCGUUCAUCUCUCUCUUCUCUCAAACUCAUCUUUAAUUUUUUUCAAACAACCUUUUUUGUUUCUUACUUGAACAAUUUUCAUUCCCCCCUAAAAAUAAUAGUAAGUUUCAUUUUUUAUUUUGAUUUAAGAAAAAUGUUGUAUGCAAUUUCUUUUUAUCAAAAAAUGUUUUAAGGGUUAACUUCUACACUAUAAAUUUGUUUUUUUUUUAAUAUUUUAAAGGUUCUUCCAUGGAGGUUGUUUGAAGAUAGAGAAAGAGAAGAGAGACAGAGAGGGAGAUGGUCACUCCAUGAAAGGGACAAGUAAUACCGUCCACGCAACAGCGACAACGGCCUCCACUAUGGAGUUGAAUGUCAUCUUUUUCUCUCUUAUACUUAUGUUAUGUCCAUUUAGAAAAAUUGGUUCAUGGUGAUUUACAAUGAUGCAAAUCCUUUUUUUAUUUACCUUUCUGUUCUAUUUUUUUUUUUGAGUUUUAUUGAUUUUAAAAAAUCUAACAAAUAAGUUUAUGUUAUGAUUUGAUUACUUUCUCUGGUGUUGGGUGGUAUUGGAUUCACUGAGUUUUUGCUCUGUCUUUUUACUAUUCUUUCUCCAGAUUUCUCUCUUCAAAAAAUCUCCUUCAAUAACUCUCAUUCAAUUUUAAUUAAUUGAUUUUUAUGUUUAUUUUUCAGGAAUCAAGAUUAGUGAUUAAGAAAAAAACAACAUGAAUAUGUGAUAGUACUUAUGCAUAUGAUGAUGGCAUGAGAAUCGCUAGAGGAGGUAUACCGCAUGUCUAGAUCUAUGCACACAGUAGAGAGAACUUAUGUGUUUGGUGACAACAAUAGUAUAAUGACAAAUAUGAAAUAUGAUAUAAAAGUUGAGGGAGGAUUGUGACUUCAUAGAGAGAGUUUGUGCAUUUAAAGUGAAGGUGGGUAACACAAUGAAGAAAAGAGUGAAAGAGAUUGAGAUAAGAGUUGAGAAGAAUUUGAAAGAUGAAGAACACAUUUGUUUAUGGAAAACGAGAAAGAAGAGGACUAUUUUUUUUAAUUUUCUUAUUAAGAUUUUAUUUUAAUAUUUUGCAAG